AUUCAUCUUGAUAAUGUUUGCUGUCAUGCAAAUAAAUGUUUACUGUUGGCAUUGUACAAACCUGUUGGCAAGCAAAAGCUUCCUGAUAAGGUGCAACAUGGGAUGUGAAAUUCUUGUUUGCUUGCAUGACAUGUGUACUGUCUGUGUCUUGUGAAUCACAUUCCUUGCCAAUGGAAUGCAAAUUGCAUGGUAAGGUACAUGAGAUAUGACAUGAGUUUGAGAUUCAUGAUGAGCAAGUACCGUGAGGGAAAUGUGAAAAGGACUUUGAAAAGAGAAUUAAAGAAAGCCUGCAAUUGCAUAAUGUAAAAGCAAGUGAAUACAAAUUACAAAUGGAAUAGCUUUCUUGACAUGUUUUGUGAUUUUUGUUGAAGCUUGCAUUUUUCAUGUCUGUUUGUAAAUGCAAAUAGCAGUGCAUGUUUGUGCUGCACUUCUGUGUGGCAGACUCAUGCUUGUUUGUGUGCAUUUAUGUCUCCUGUGCGCUCAACUUCAUUUUUGCACACACUGGUGCA
rnacentral:rRNA from 1 species